UCGGGAAUUUUGCUCAAUGGACGAAAGUCUGAAGCGGCAACGCCGCGUGAGGGAUGAAGGCCUUCGGGUUGUAAACCUCUUUUGUCAGGGACGAUUAUGACGGUACCUGGCGAAUAAGCCACGGCUAACUACGUG
rnacentral:rRNA from 1 species